UACGGAGGUUGCGAGCGUUGUUCGGAAUUAUUGGGCGUAAAGAGCGUGUAGGCGGCCUUGUAAGUCAGAUGUGAAAGCCCUUGGCUUAACCAAGGAAGUGCAUUUGAAACUGCUUGGCUUGAGUACGGGAGGGGAAAGCGGAAUUCCCGGUGUAGAGGUGAAAUUCGUAGAUAUCGGGAGGAACACCGGUGGCGAAGGCGGCUUUCUGGACCGAUACUGACGCUGAGACGCGAAAGCGUGGGGAGCAAACAGG
rnacentral:rRNA from 1 species